ACCCCAGCGUCUGAUAUAGAGAAACAAGUCCCCCUUUAGCUCUCUCAAAUACAAAGCAACUGUUUUUCACAGAUGACAACGGGUUGUGUGUUCUUAUGUGCAUGUGUUCCAGAAGGGUCCCCCCUUGACCGAAAGCAGCGCUGAGCCACAGUGGAUAGAAGCCUGCCCUUCAGCUGCAUUCAUUAAAAAUCUGGCAACUUGGCACCUUCCCACAGGGCCUCCUCAAACACUCGUUCCGGUAGCCUGAAGCAUUCCUCGAAGAAGUUCACAAGGGACUGGCUGAGGUGCUGCCUCGUUGCUUCACUGUGAAUGAAGUGGCCUUCAUCUGGGUAGAUCUGAUACAUAAAGAACAGGUCCAUUUUCCGCUUACCUCGCCCAGCGACUUACCAGUCUGCUUUCCAGCUGACAGCUCUACUCUCUCAGCGUUUCCUGCACAACCCCAUUGAGGAAUCUACUCUGACCACUUAUAUCUUAAAUAAAGUUGCCUUUGAACAUUUGCAAA